UUCGUAUUCCCUAUUAUCCUCCAUUUCGCACUGUUCUUCAUUCUUCUGUUUUAUCUUUGGGUGUUGUUUGUUGACUGCAAAUAUGUAUUAGAGAUUUAAUUUUCAAUCCUUUGAUUUAUUUGUUGGUUUCUGAGCUUCAUGUUGCGUUUUGUAAUGCUCGUUUCUUUCGUUUCGUAUCAGAAUAAUAUGAUUUGCUUUUAAUGAAAUUGUGUCUUAAGUUGUAAUUUUCUGAUUCUCGUUGUUACAUUUGAUCUCUGCUCUUUUCUAUACCUUCUAUAGGCGUAAGAGUGGAAUUUCAAGGUGUAUCGGGGACAAGAGAAGUUUGAUUGGAAAUAGGUCUUGGGUUUCCCGGGUUCAAGAGAAGAUUCGUCGGAGAUACCUCUGUAGCGUAAGAGUGGAAUUUCAAGGUUUAUCGGG